AUUGAACGCUGGCGGCAUGCUUUACACAUGCAAGUCGAACGGUAGAGGGGGCAACCCCUUGAGAGUGGCGAACGGGUGAGUAAUGCAUCGGAACGUGCCCAGUCGUGGGGGAUAACGCAGCGAAAGCUGUGCUAAUACCGCAUACGAUCUCUGGAUGAAAGCGGGGGACCGAAAGGCCUCGCGCGAUUGGAGCGGCCGAUGUCAGAUUAGGCAGUUGGUGGGGUAAAGGCCGACCAAGCCAACGAUCUGUAGCUGGCCUGAGAGGACGACCAGCCACACUGGGACUGAGACACGGCCCAGACUCCUACGGGAGGCAGCAGUGGGGAAUUUUGGACAAUGGGCGCAAGCCUGAUCCAGCAAUGCCGCGUGCAGGAAGAAGGCCUUCGGGUUGUAAACUGCUUUUGUACGGAACGAAACGGUCUGGGUUAAUACCCUGGGCUAAUGACGGUACCGUAAGAAUAAGCACCGGCUAACUACGUGCCAGCAGCCGCAGUAA
rnacentral:rRNA from 1 species